GGAUGUGAAGGUGAUCUGGCUGUGACAUCUGUUGCCCCAUUGAUCGCCAGGGUUGAUUCAGCUGAUCUGGCUGGCUAGGCAGGUGUCCCCUUCCUCCCUCACAGCUCC
ensembl:misc_RNA 7SK 7SK RNA